rnacentral:rRNA from 1 species
AGUGAACGCUGGCGGUAGGCCUAACACAUGCAAGUCGAACGGCAGCACAGUAAGAGCUUGCUCUUACGGGUGGCGAGUGGCGGACGGGUGAGGAAUACAUCGGAAUCUACUUUUUCGUGGGGGAUAACGUAGGGAAACUUACGCUAAUACCGCAUACGACCUACGGGUGAAAGCAGGGGAUCUUCGGACCUUGCGCGAUUGAAUGAGCCGAUGUCGGAUUAGCUAGUUGGCGGGGUAAAGGCCCACCAAGGCGACGAUCCGUAGCUGGUCUGAGAGGAUGAUCAGCCACACUGGAACUGAGACACGGUCCAGACUCCUACGGGAGGCAGCAGUGGGGAAUAUUGGACAAUGGGCGCAAGCCUGAUCCAGCCAUACCGCGUGGGUGAAGAAGGCCUUCGGGUUGUAAAGCCCUUUUGUUGGGAAAGAAAAGCAGCAGGUUAAGACCCGCUGUUCUGACGGUACCCAAAGAAUAAGCACCGGCUAACUUCGUG